rnacentral:rRNA from 1 species
UGGGGAAUAUUGCACAAUGGGGGAAACCCUGAUGCAGCGACGCCGCGUGAACGAAGAAGGUAUUCGUAUCGUAAAGUUCUGUCCUAUGGGAAGAUAAUGACAGUACCAUAGAAGAAAGCUCCGGCUAAAUACGUUCCAGCAGCCGCGGUAAUACGUAUGGAGCGAGCGUUUUCCGGAAUUUUUGGGCGUAAAGGGUACGCAGGCGGUUUAAUAAGUCGAAUGUUAAAGAUCGGGGCUCAACCCCGCAAAGCAUUGGAAACUGAUAAACUUGAGUAGUGGAGAGGAAAGUGGAAUUCCUAGUGUAGUGGUGAAAUACGUAGAUAUUAGGAGGAAUACCAGUAGCGAAGGCGACUUUCUGGACACAAACUGACGCUGAGGUACGAAAGCGUGGGGAGCAAACAGG